AUUGAACGCUGGCGGCAUGCCUUACACAUGCAAGUCGAACGGUAACAGGUCUUCGGAUGCUGACGAGUGGCGAACGGGUGAGUAAUACAUCGGAACGUGCCCGAUCGUGGGGGAUAACGGAGCGAAAGCUUUGCUAAUACCGCAUACGAUCUACGGAUGAAAGCAGGGGACCGCAAGGCCUUGCGCGGACGGAGCGGCCGAUGGCAGAUUAGGUAGUUGGUGGGAUAAAAGCUUACCAAGCCGACGAUCUGUAGCUGGUCUGAGAGGACGACCAGCCACACUGGGACUGAGACACGGCCCAGACUCCUACGGGAGGCAGCAGUGGGGAAUUUUGGACAAUGGGCGCAAGCCUGAUCCAGCCAUGCCGCGUGCAGGAUGAAGGCCUUCGGGUUGUAAACUGCUUUUGUACGGAACGAAACGGUGAGCUCUAAUAAAGCUUGCUAAUGACGGUACCGUAAGAAUAAGCACCGGCUAACUACGUG
rnacentral:rRNA from 1 species